UCUCGCCUCUCGCCUAAGGCAAUAAAAUGCUCUAUCGCCUCGCCUUUCGCCUUGAUAACACUGUUCCUCUAUAAUUUAGUCCAAUAAGAGUCCCUUUGCAUCACCUAUGUUGUUAAUGAAAAAAAGAAGGAUGGCUCAUGGAGAAUUUGCAUAGAUUAUAGGAAGCUCAAUGACCUAACUGUUAAGGAUAAGUUUCCUAUUCCCAUCAUUGAUGAUUUGUUGGAUAAUUUGCAUGGAACAAAGUAUUUUUCUAAGAUUGAUCUUAGAGCAGGGUACCAUCAAAUACGAAUAGAACCUAUUGACACUCACAAGAUAGCAUUUAGAACUCACUAAUGAAUCAUAUAUUCCAGCCUAUUUGUGAAGAAUUGUGCUUGUAUUUUUUUAUGACAUUUUAAUCUACAGUAGCACUAUGGAGGAAUUUGCUCAUUUGGAAGAAGUCUUUGUUAAGAUCAGAUCUGAAUUAAUCUCUGAAAUAGAGAUUAAAGCAGAAUCU
rnacentral:misc_RNA from 1 species